ensembl:lncRNA
AUGCCGUUUUUCUUCUUUGUUGUGGCAGCUUUGGAUGCCAUUACCAGGAGAGAUCAUAUCUAUAUAUUUGGAGAGGAUUUGGAGCUAUUCCUUAAAUUCCUGAUUUUUAAGGAAAGCUCCGUAGCUGUUGUCGGAUCACUGGGAGUGCGCCUCCGCUCAGCUAUGGACUACUACACAGAGGAGGACACCAAGGCUCUGCGGCUUGUUACGGUCAGGACAGCACUGGCCCCCUGCUCGGGGGCUGUGAACCAGGAGCCAGCCUCCCAACACGUGGCCCCUGCUAACCCACAGGAACACCUUGGGCCUUCCUGCCUUUGAGCCCUUGUGUGGCCAUUUUCCUGCUAGCAAUGCCCUUACCCAACCUUUCUGCUCAUUUAAAUCCCCCUGGUCGUUCGCAGUCCGGCUCGUGCCCCUCCGCCCCCUGAAAGCCUUCCAGCACCAGGAGAGAACAAGCCUAACUACCGUGUUGUACGCGGAAGAACACCACGGAGCUCCACAGCUGUGGCAGAGGCCGCUAUUUGUCCCUCAACAUUCAUUCUGCCCUUCCUCCUCAGGAAUGGAACCCCUGAAUUUUAGUGGGGUACGUGGCUGCCUAGACAAAAGCCUGUUUCCCAGGCUCCAUGUGGUUAGAGGUAGUCAAGUUUUAGCCGACGGAGUAUAAGCAGAGUGGCAUUUAUGACUCUGGGCAAGUAUUGCUAUUUGUUUUUCUGAUCUCCUUUCCUACUUCCUGCCAGCUGGAAUGUGAACACGAUGUCUGGAGCUCGAGCAGCCUUCUUAGACCUUAAAGGUGGAUACCACACGUAAGGAUGGCACGGCAUCAUGACCAAAGUAACUCGAGAACCUGAUGGUCCUUGUGCUGCAUCACCAUCCCUGCGCUUAACUUCCACGCUUCAUUUACCUGAAGCAGGAAUCAGUUUCCAUCUUGUUUAGGCCAUUGCUGUUUGGGAUGCCAUACCACCAUCGCCAGACACAGUCCUGCCUGGUACCAAAACCACCACCACCUGAGUGCUUCUGAGCACUCACUUUGUGCCAAGCACAGGACAAGUCAGGAUUUUUUAAGCUGGCUUUUCCACCUAGUUUUCACAGCCACCUUGAAGCUGGGUGCUAAUACUAAUUAAUUAAUUUGAGCUUCAGCUCCCAAAUGAGUUUUGUUCAUUCCACAUCGUUUCUUGGUUCCUGCUACAUGGUAGACACUGGGCAAGGCCUUGAGGAUUCAGCAGUAAGAUGAACUCCUUGUCUUCCAAACCUUGACAGUCUAGUGGGGAAAACAAGCAGAUGGAAAUAACAGUGCGACGUGAUGGUAAUAAUACUGUAUCAUCAUUUUAAGAUGCCAUCAAUUGUAAGAUACACUGUUUUUUAUGUACCAUCAAGAAAAAUAAUACUGCCGUGAAACUGAGACAUACUGUCUUAAUAAUAGUCCCAUGUGCCACAUGAACCAGUCACACCAACCUCUCAUUACUUUGAAAUUGUUUAUUAUCUACCCUAAGGGAUUUCACGAUUUCUCCAGGCUCCAGUUGCCUUGCUUUCUAUGUGACAGUCCAUCUUCUAGACAUAUCUCAGUAAUAAACUAUAGCCCAGCUUGAGCCA